rnacentral:rRNA from 1 species
GAUGAACGCUGGCGGCGUGCCUAAUACAUGCGAGUCGAGCGAACAGACGAGGAGCUUGCUCCUCUGACGUUAGCGGCGGACGGGUGAGUAACACGUGGAUAACCUACCUAUAAGACUGGGAUAACUUCGGGAAACCGGAGCUAAUACCGGAUAAUAUAUUGAACCGCAUGGUUCAAUAGUGAAAGACGGUUUUGCUGUCACUUAUAGAUGGAUCCGCGCCGCAUUAGCUAGUUGGUAAGGUAACGGCUUACCAAGGCAACGAUGCGUAGCCGACCUGAGAGGGUGAUCGGACACACUGGAACUGAGACACGGUCCAGACUCCUACGGGAGGCAGCAGUAGGGAAUCUUCCGCAAUGGGCGAAAGAGUGACGGAGCAACGCCGCGUGAGUGAUGAAGGUCUUCGGAUAGUAAAACUCUGUUAUUAGGGAAGAACAAAUGUGUAAGUAACUAUGCACGUCUUGACGGUACCUAAUCAGAAAGCCACGGCUAACUACGUG